UACGUAGGGUGCGAGCGUUAAUCGGAAUUACUGGGCGUAAAGCGUGCGCAGGCGGUUGUGCAAGACAGAUGUGAAAUCCCCGGGCUUAACCUGGGAACUGCAUUUGUGACUGCACGGCUAGAGUACGGCAGAGGGGGAUGGAAUUCCGCAUGUAGCAGUGAAAUGCGUAGAUAUGCGGAGGAACACCGAUGGCGAAGGCAGUCCCCUGGGCCUGUACUGACGCUCAUGCACGAAAGCGUGGGGAGCAAACAGG
rnacentral:rRNA from 1 species